GGCCAUGUAGCUCAGUUGGCUAGAGCAUUUGGCUGUACUAAAGCCUUCCCCUUGCUGGCAUGGAUUCAAAUCCCAACGCGGCCG
rnacentral:tRNA from 1 species